GACGAGGGAUCCUAGCGUUGUUCGGAAUUACUGGGCGUAAAGCGCACGUAGGCGGAUCGAUCAGUCAGGGGUGAAAUCCCAGGGCUCAACCCUGGAACUGCCUUUGAUACUGUCGAUCUGGAGUAUGGAAGAGGUGAGUGGAAUUCCGAGUGUAGAGGUGAAAUUCGUAGAUAUUCGCAAGAACACCAGUGGCGAAGGCGGCUCACUGGCCCGGUACUGACGCUGAGGUGCGAAAGCGUGGGGAGCAAACAGG
rnacentral:rRNA from 1 species